GAUGAACGCUGGCGGCGUGCUUAACACAUGCAAGUCGAACGAUGAAGCCCCUGCUUGCAGGGGUGGAUUAGUGGCGAACGGGUGAGUAACACGUGAGCAACCUGCCCCUGACUCUGGGAUAAGCGCUGGAAACGGUGUCUAAUACUGGAUAUGUGCCACGGCCGCAUGGUCUGUGGUUGGAAAGAUUUUUCGGUUGGGGAUGGGCUCGCGGCCUAUCAGCUUGUUGGUGAGGUAAUGGCUCACCAAGGCGUCGACGGGUAGCCGGCCUGAGAGGGUGACCGGCCACACUGGGACUGAGACACGGCCCAGACUCCUACGGGAGGCAGCAGUGGGGAAUAUUGCACAAUGGGCGGAAGCCUGAUGCAGCAACGCCGCGUGAGGGAUGACGGCCUUCGGGUUGUAAACCUCUUUUAGCAGGGAAGAAGCGAAAGUGACGGUACCUGCAGAAAAAGCACCGGCUAACUACGUGCCAGCAGCCGCCGUAACAC
rnacentral:rRNA from 1 species